AACACACCUAGACUGCCUUUGAGUUGACAAAGGUUGAUUUACCAAAGCUGGAUUAUAAUCUGUCACUUUUGGGCUUACAGUCCUGACACGCAGUAAAGGAAACAAAAUUCAGAAAAGAGACAAACUGCUGGAGGAAAAUAAUUCAUCUGACAGCAAAGAUGCAGUGGAGUCUGAUUCUGCUCUUCCUGAUGGCUCACUGUUGUUUCAUGGACUGUCAGCUCUAUCAGUUUCACUACAUUAAUGAGAAUAAGACCUGGACUGAAGCUCAGCAGUACUGCAGAGAGAAACACACUGACCUGGUCACAGUGACUAACAUGAAGGACAUGAAGAGACUCAUCAACAUCUC